CUACAGUCCUGAAACUGGUUCUGCAAAUAAGAAGAACGGCUGUAAUAAUUUGAACGGUUCGGACCAUAAGGGGAAGGAGUUUCACCACUGGAAUUAGAAAUUUGUAACAGGGACCUACGACUCGUUAUGCAGAAAGAGAGAGGGAACAUAAAUGAUUUAAAGAAAAGCUCAGGCAGAUACAUGGGGAUUGGGGAACAUAGAGAUGAGCAUCAGUUGUAACUUCACAGAGAAAAGGGAAGACACGCUGAUCAGUAAUCAAGUUGCAACAUAACUAAGAAGCCAACAUGGAAUGGAAAACAGACUUAUCCCACGGCAAGGUAACUCCGUACUUAUCAUUCAUAGCCGGAAGAAAAGUAGGAAAGUCUAGAUUAAGCUAUUAGGUUGAAGAACCCUGCCUUAAGUUUAGAUGUUUGGUUUUUAUUUUCUUGAGUGAGGCAUAUUUGGAUUUAUGUUAUAUGACAGUAUUAUAUAACACCAAAUUUAAUUCCCUAUAUCUUAUGAUGUUACGUUGAAAUGAAUGUUUGAAAAUAAAGAUGUUACGUUGAUUGCACAAAUAACAACUUGGCUUUCUGAACCAGCAACAUUUUUCCAUAAGAGAGAACCUGUGAAAGACUAACCUGUAAAGAGCAAAAGGGGAAAUUUAUUAUAAUAACUUUUCUUAAAUGGAUAUAUAAGAACACAUAGUAAUCUAAACUUAAAAAAGAACACAUCGAAACAUAAAAAAACUAUAAGACAUAUGUGGCUAUUUAAAUUACAUACCUUAUUACACCAACUAGUGAAGGUUUUCAAAACAGAGCAUUGUCUGCUAUGAUCUUGUACUUAUGUUUUGUAGUUUGAUACUGACCACCAGCUGAAGUGACGGAUAAGUUUGCAAGUAGCAUGGAUCUUGUUUCCCUAAAAAAACACACAGUCAUAUUAGAUUCAAAGACAAAUAAGUAAUGUUAUAAAGAGAUUCAACGUUAUCAACAUAAAGUUACCUAUUCAUCUGCUAAAAUCAUCUCGAAGCUAUCACCUCCGAAAGAUGUGUGUUGCUUCCAUGAAUACAAACAUUUCACUUGAACUCCAAUUGUUUUUGUAAGGUGAAAGUUUUUUGAGUGGUAAAGCAGUCAGGAUGUACAUCUUUCUGAUUUUAGGUUUUCUUUGCUAUGUUUUGGACGAUAGAUUGAUGAGAUAUAUAUACUGGCGUUUGGAAAGAGAAGGUUUUUUUUUUUUUGGCGGCGGAAAGAGAAGGUUAAAUUAGAAAAUCAAAUAAAAUAUUUGGAGUUAUUUGUGAGUUGUACGCAGAAUCACACGAAUAUAAAUUAAUUAAUAUUCAUUCCUUUUUAUGAUAUCUAACACUACUAAAAGGUGAAUAUGGAGUGUUUCUAGCAUGUCCACGUAGGCUAAUAUAUUUAACCAAUCAAGACAUUCCAAUAAUACACGCUGGCAAAAGACACGAAGCUCUUGCUUUCGUAUGGGCUCUGCUGUGUUUCGAUGGGCUUCGUCGGUUAGCAUUGGGCUUUGCUACCCAGUUCAAUUAAAAAAAAAAAUUCAACCCAAGACGGAUAACACGAGGCUCUACGCUUCUCGCUCUUCGUCUUCACCGUUUCUUCACCAUCGUUUCAGUUCUCUCGAUCCAGAACUCCACAAUCAAUACUCCACUACAUCUCGAUUCAAUCGAGCUACCUCUGACGCUAACUGACCUGGAUCUCACGGUGAACCGUUUAUCGGAACUGGACUCGAGGAUCGCUCACCUCUCUAUGCUCAAGAAGCUUUCUCUUCGCCAAAACCUAAUCGAAGACUCCGUCGUCGAGCCUCUCUCUCGCUGGGACGCCUUGUCCGAUCUCGAGGUGAUUAUUAUCAUCCACUCUCUGAUUCUGCGAAUUUCACAAAUAUGAUCUCUCGAGGCCUUACGAUUGAUAGUCAUUUGUAUAUGUAGGAUCUGAUUCUCAGAGAUAACAAGCUAGCGGAAGUACCAGAUAUAAGCAUAUUCUCAAGGCUUUUGGUCUUUGACGUAUCUUUCAAUGAAAUCACUUCGUUGGAAGGAUUAUCAAAGGCCUCUAGCACGUUGAAGGAGCUCUAUGUGUCUAAGAAUGAAGUUAACAAGAUUAUGGAGAUUGAACACUUGCACGACUUGCAGAUUCUUGAGCUAGGGUCCAAUAGAUUGUGGGUUUGGAUUUGUCGUGAUUACUUUACAAUGUUUUAGCAAUGAAUAUGAAAGCAUUGAGGUUUAUUCAGGUGAUGGUGAAUAUGGAGAGCUUGACAAAGUUAGAAGAGCUGUGGCUGGGAAGAAACCGUAUCAAAGUUGUGAACUUGUGUGGGCUCAGAUGUAUUAAAAAGAUUAGCUUGCAGAGCAAUCAAUUGACCUCUAUGAAAGGAUUUGAGGACUGUGUUGCUCUUGAAGAGUUGUAUCUGAGCCAUAAUGGUAUCUCAAAAAUGGAAGGCUUGAGUGCGUUGGUUAACCUACGGGUAUUAGACGUGUCGAACAACAAGCUCACAUCAGUUGAUGACAUUCAGAGCUUCACAAAGCUGGAAGAUUUAUGGCUUAAUGACAACCAGAUAGAAAUACUUGAAGCUAUCACAGAAGCUGUUGAAGGCUCUAAAGCUAACAGCUUUCCCGGAUUCUCCAUAAAAUGGAUGCUAAUAUAACUGCAAACUGUGUUCAUCCUGGAAUCGUGAGAACGCGUCUCACAAGAGACCGAGACGGCCUCAUCACUGAUUUUGUCUUUUUCUUGACCUCUAAGCUUUUGAAGUCCGUUCCUCAGGCAGCAGCAACGACAUGCUGCCUAGCAACGAGUCCGAGAUUGAGGAACGUGUGCGGCAAAUACUUUUCAGACUGUAAUGAAGCUCGGACUUCUAAUCCGGAUCGUGCAAUCUUAAAGCUCAGAGACUGUGGACUGCUUCGGAGUUGUUGGUCAAUCCAGCUUCCACUCCCGAUGUUUAUCAAACCUUUAAAUACUUUUUAACCAACGAUGCUAUGUAUGUGUAAAGCCUUUCCAAGCUUCUUGGUUGUGAAAUGUUUUAGAUCAUUUGGAGGAGUAAUAAAGUUUAUAUGUUAUCACUAAUCACAUAUAUAGAUUGAAGAAAGGCAACACAGGCAGAUAUAAACAUUGGCACGCCAAUGUAUCUACCACAAAGACAACUAUUAAGUUAUCAUCAUAUUAAAAUCUAGGGGGCAUUAAGCACAUGCGUAACAAAAAAAUAUUUAAAACACACUGUGUUAGUGUUAUCGGCUAAACAAGAGUUUGUUUUUAAGUUUUUUGUAAGAACAUAGUUUGUUUUUAAGAUAAUAUUGGCUUUUUAACAUGCUUUUGCAUAUUCAUUGCAUAAUUAUAUGCACUUGUAAGGCAUCGCCAGUCCUAUAUUAUACUCAAAUUUUAUGUAGUGUUUCCAAAUCUACAGAGUGAUGCUCUGGUUUAUACGAUUUAAAGACUAAUUUCUGGUGGUGUUUUAAAAACAAAAUUGGAUUAGUUUGGUUUGUGUUUUAUUUUUCUUUGUAAUGUGUUUCCGUAAGGUGGUUUUGAGAAAAAUAAAUUUUUUUGUUGUUUGAUAUUUUUAUUCAGUUUAUUUUUUUUAUCAUAAAUUAGUUUGGUUUUGUAAAAAUAACCGAUUUAAAUAAUCUAUUUUAAUCAGAAACCAUGUAAAGCAAUUUCAUUUCUCUUAAUUCCGUUGAUAUUUGAUCGAAAAACAUUUCUUAACCUUUAGCUAAAAAAUUUAGUUUUCAGUCUCCUUGAUAAAAGAAUUUUGGUUAGUGUAUCAAAUCAAUAUUGUAUAGCCGUAAAUUAAUUAUACAAAUGGAAUUAUUUAUCAUUUGAAAUAAACAAUGCAAAAAACAUGUAAAUAUGUCAGUUUGUAUUUUUUGUAGAGAGGGCAGAAAUUGAAAAUGUAAAAUCAAUAAUUCUAAAUACAUAAAAAAGUUUUAAAUUAAAUGUAGAUUUAACAAUUGUUUUGUAUGAAACAAAAGAUUUUAGCUGAAACUUAAGAAUAUUGACUAUUCAUAACUUUUCGUUCAUUUUAAUAAUAAAUAAACAACAAAGAGUAAGGGGUUGAUUGGUUGUUCUGAAGUUUUUGUUUUUGUUUUUAUUUUAGAAAAUAAGAUGUGAAUUGUUUUGCUUCGGUUUUAAUUGUUUUGCUAUAUAUCUAUUUUCAAAGCACUAAAUGAAAUCUUUAGAAAAUUUGAUUUUGAAAACUAAUAUAUUAUUUUUUUUCAAAAAAACUUUAUACUAUAUCUUUAAUUUUAAAAGAUAAAAUAUGAUUGUUUUAAAAAUAAAAAUUUUAGAAAAAAAUAGAUGUCUAAAACAUUUACCACCAUUGUCAAUCAACCCCUGAGUUUAUUCAUUUCAAAUUCGUUGGAGAACAUAAUAAAUUAAUUUCUGUAUUAUUACUUAUGUUUUUGGUAGUCAAUUUUGAAAUAAUACAUAUACAUGCUUUUUAUAAGAAAAUAAACAAGCUAAACUUAAUUACAAAUUAAAAGAAGAAAUUUACGCCCGGACAAAGACCCUAGUCAUAUUAAAAAGAGAAUAUACAGUUUUUAAUUCUAGGCAGUACGUGUUUCACAAGAUUUAAAAAUAGAAUAUGCUGAUUGUAUGAGUUAUUUGAUAUCCUUUACUGAUACGAAGCGUAGAAAUAGGAACUAAUAUAUCGUAAUGUUGUUUUGUUUUUGAAAAGGAAUAUACAGUUUCGAUCUUAGAUGGAAAUCUUAAUUGUUAUUGCGUAGAAGUAGAAAUCGUAAUUAGUUUUGAUUUUUGAUGGAAAUAAAGCAUAAUUAGUUUUGUUUUUGCACUGGGAUUAAAUCUUCUGAUAUCAUUAUUAUCUAUACAGACGAAACCAAAUUAUCAUAAAGAAAUAAUAAAUUGGGUUAACAAUACAAUCGCUAAACCAUACUUGGUUAGAUUAGUAUACACAAUGUUGUUGUACAUAUUCAAAAUCGAUAUAAAGAAUUUUAAGAAAUGGUCGAUGUGUAGAUACAUUAUCUAAUCAAAAUUAAAUUUCAUGUUUUGUCAAACUUAUGAUUAAUCAUUUGGUUUGUAAUGAUUUAGGUAAUUUAUAAAAAAAAUCGUUACUGGUUUCUUCGGUUUGCUUUAGAGAUAUUAAGUUGUUAUUAUGGUAUGGGCUAGCAGGUAUAAUAAGCCCAAAACAUAUUAAGCUACUCUAAAACAAACAUGCGAAAUAUUGGGCUAAGCAAACAUUUAUCCUCUCUUGAUUUACAUAAAGCGAAUUAAUGGGUUAAGAUGUGUUAAACGGUUGUGUUUUAAUUUCAGUGGCAUGGAAUAUGGUAAAUAUUGAGGAAAACUCAGGGCUAAGUACAAAAUGUACUUCAGUUUUAAUAGUUUAAUUUAAUAGUUUAGAUGUUCUUGAUAUUAGGAACAUUUUAUGGAGAUUAUUUUAAGCUUUAGACAUUUUUUAUGUUUAAAAUAGAUUUAGGACACACAUAUCUAUUAAUAUGUAAAAGACAAAGAAAACUUAAAAAUAGAUUCAUUAAAUAUAUCAGUGGAACUGGAGUGUAAAUAACUUGUAAAAUUAAGGGUUAUUUUUAUUUUGUACUCCCCUUUGUAUAUAUAUUCUAUAUUAUUAAAACAGAAUCUCUCAUAGGAUUUUGUCCUUAUUUUUUUGGAGAUAAUUAGAUUACCAUGCCACUGCUUUUUAGAAUUUUUUUUUAAUUAAUUGUGGCAACUAUAACUUCAACCAUUGGAAAAUAAGAGUGUUAAAACCAAUCAAAGUGCAGCGAAAUAAUAUCAGUCUUGACCAAUGUCAAGGCCAUCGAAGCCCUAUAAUAUAAUGAAGGUCACCGGGCCGUGCUUGUGUAUAAUCGAUUAACAUAUACUUUUACCAGGGAGGCCCAAUUAUUAUUGUGUUUUCGUUAGAGUUUUGGAUAUUUUUUUCUGGCGAACAAUUAUGUGUUCUUUUACAAAAAAAUAUUUUGGUUGUUAUUUAUUUGUAAACAAAAAUACCGUGGAAACCGAAAUUCACACCGUCUAUUUCCGUGAAAAUAAAAAAAGUCAAGAAACCAUAACUUUCCCAAAGGUCCUGGAUUUCUGUUAAACCAACGUCAAGCAAUCAGAUAAUAAAAACAGACGAAAUUAUGAAUUGAUAAAAAAGAAAAAAGAGAGCAAGAAGAUCUUAUUCUGAAUUUGCGUAUGAGCGAUUACAACAGGUAAAGCCUCGGCUGCAAGAACUGUUAGCGAGUUCCCUAGUUCUAAGCACUUAAGACUUGUAAACCUAAUUGAGCGCAACUCUAUAACAAAAACAAAAACAAAAAUGCCUAAAUUGCUAAGUGCUGAAUUUUUUGUGUCCCUGCGCCUUCUGCCCUAGCAUCCCUUAUAUACUCCUCCUUAGGUCGGUUUACCUUCUUCCUUUUUUUCCCCAAGUCAACUUUAUCUUCUUGCAGAAAUAUUUCAUUUUCUUCGAUCUUCAUGAUUAUCUUCGAAAACUUGACAUUUAUCCUCGGACUUUCCAUUUAUCUUUUCCUGCAAACAACACAUAGACCGUCAUAGCAACUUUGGGCCUGAUUUCAUAAAAAUCGUAAGUGGGCUCAUAGUCGCGUUUUAAACCCUUUGGGCCUUUUUUCGACUUUAGACGUUUUUACGACCUUAUUGAAAGACAACCUUCGAUGCAAUGUCAAUUUUUUUAAUAACUCAAAUUGAUUGUAACAAGGAUAUGACCGAGGUAUUACGUUAACUGUUGUCGUUUUAGAGGAUCAAUUUGAACUUUUACGAGAAAACAUGUCUUUGCGGUUUUGUCGUCAGUUUCCAACGGUAACUCCAAUCGAGACGAAACAAGGGUCAGUUCAGUCGAGGCUUGAAGGAGGAAGCUACGAGGGUUUAUAGACGAGGCAGAUUUGAUCAAUCCAAAUCGCCAUUGGGAGAGUUGGUUGCGGAUGCUCCAACUUGCCCAGUGGCGAGUUGGUCGGAGCUGAUCCAACCCGCCCAAUGGCGAGUUGGAUAGUACGAUCCAACUCACCACGGGGCGAGUUUUUCGGAGCUGAUCCAACUCUCCCAAUGGCGAGUUGGUUGGAGCUGAUUAAACUCGCCCAAUGGCGAGUUGGUCGGAGCUAAUCCAACUCGUCCAAUGGUGAGUUGGUUCGUUGACCCAACUCGCCAUUGGGCAAGUUAGAUGAGGGUCGCCCAACUCGCCAUUGGAAGAGUUGAACGGGGCUUCUCCAACUCGCCAUUGGGUGAGUUCGAUGAAGCUUCUCCAACUCGCCCAAUGGUGAGUUGGCUAGCUUCCCGGUGGGUCUGACGAUGCUCGUUUAGUUGCUUCGAUGCUCGGGAAUCGUUUGUUCGAAAGAUUGAGUAAUCUUUCUCGAGAACUCGUCGUAUAAUUGGUUUUUUAAAUUUUAACAAGUUCUUACUUUGAUUUUAAAGAUAGUGGGACUCGUUAAUUCCACGUAAGCCGUAUUCGUCAUAAAAAACUCGUAAUAAGAAAACGCGGGCCUCACUCAUUCCUCGUAAAUAAAAAAGUGGACCUCGCUAAUUCCUCGUAAAUGAACGAGGAUGUUACGAGGAAACAAAACGCAGGCCUCGCUAAUUCCUCGUAAAAAAACACGUGCCUCGCGAGUUCCUCGUAACUUUACGACGAUUCCUGAUUUUCUAUAUAUACACGCGAGCUUCUCACUUCCCAUCUCGUCUCAACUUCCUCUCUCUUUCGUAGCAAUGGUACGCUCUCUCUAUUUCCUCUCUAAUUUGAUUAGUUUAGGGUAGAUUAGGUGGUUAGUGUAGGGAAUUUAGAUAGGUUUACAGAUUUUAUGUUAGUGUUGAUUAGGUGGU